UACAGAGGUCUCAAGCGUUGUUCGGAUUCAUUGGGCGUAAAGGGUGCGUAGGCGGCGCGGUAAGUCGGGUGUGAAAUCUCGGAGCUUAACUCCGAAACUGCAUUCGAUACUGCCGUGCUUGAGGACUGGAGAGGAGACUGGAAUUUACGGUGUAGCGGUGAAAUGCGUAGAUAUCGUUUGGAACGCCAAUGGUGAAAACAGGUUGCUGGGGAUGUGCUGACGCUGAGACACGAAAGCCAGGGGAGCAAACGGG
rnacentral:rRNA from 1 species